CCUGGCGGCGAGCGGCGAACGGGUGAGUAAUGUAUCGGAACGUACCCAGUCGUGGGGGAUAACUAUCCGAAAGGAUAGCUAAUACCGCAUACGUCCUGAGGGAGAAAGCGGGGGACCUGCAAGGGCCUCGCGCGAUUGGAGCGGCCGAUAUCGGAUUAGCUAGUUGGUGAGGUAAAGGCUCACCAAGGCGACGAUCCGUAGCUGGUCUGAGAGGACGACCAGCCACACUGGAACUGAGACACGGUCCAGACUCCUACGGGAGGCAGCAGUGGGGAAUUUUGGACAAUGGGGGCAACCCUGAUCCAGCCAUUCCGCGUGAGUGAAGAAGGCCUUCGGGUUGUAAAGCUCUUUCAGCAGGAACGAAACGGUGGUCCUUAAUACGGGCUACUAAUGACGGUACCUGAAGAAGAAGCACCGGCUAACUACGUGCCAGCAGCCGCGGUAAUACGUAGGGUGCGAGCGUUAAUCGGAAUUACUGGGCGUAAAGCGUGCGCAGGCGGUUCUACAAGACAGAUGUGAAAUCCCCGGGCUUAACCUGGGAACUGCGUUUGUGACUGUAGGACUCGAGUGUGGCAGAGGGGGGUGGAAUUCCACGUGUAGCAGUGAAAUGCGUAGAGAUGUGGAGGAACACCGAUGGCGAAGGCAGCCCCCUGGGUCAACACUGACGCUCAUGCACGAAAGCGUGGGGAGCAAACAGGAUUAGAUACCCUGGUAGUCCACGCCCUAAACGAUGCGAACUAGGUGUUGGGGAAGGAGACUUUCUUAGUACCGCAGCUAACGCGUGAAGUUCGCCGCCUGGGGAGUACGGUCGCAAGAUUAAAACUCAAAGGAAUUGA
rnacentral:rRNA from 1 species